GUUAAAGGAAUGACAUUUUUAGUUGUUACAGAAGGUGGAGGCCAAAUGAUAUGAAUGUAAGAUGACAGGACAAUAAACAGAAUUAGAAGCAUUUUCAUGCACCCACAUGCCCAUGAGCAGGUACUUUUUGCUCUCAUUAGGAGAAGUUCUUUCCCCAGAGGCUGGCUGGGCACUGGAACUGGCUCCUCAGAGAAGUGGUCACAGCACCAAGGCUGACAGGGCUCAAGAAACAUCUGGACAAUGCUCUCAGGCACACGGUGUGGUUUUUGGGCUGUCCUCUACAGUGUCAGUAGUUGGACUCAUUGAUAAUUUUGGGACCCUUCCAACUCAGGGGAUUUUAUGAUUUGACCAUCUUUGAAAGGCAGUGCUGGAAGGCAUGAAGAGGACAAUGUGCACGACCUGCAGGUGUGCCAUGGAAAUGCUCUUUUCCUGUUUCAUGCUCUUUGUAAGACAUCUUCCUUAAACCUUGGCACAGCUCUGUCCCCCAAGCUGGAGGUCUGAAUCCAAAUGCCAACUUGCUCCUCUCCUGGCUAAUUGGAACUCGAGCACAGAUAUUUCACAAGAGGAUAAUUAUGAGCUGGUUUCCCUGCUCUGUUUGUCUCCAUUUUUACAUUUAUAGUGUCUGGUCUGCUCUGCUGAGCUGCCAGUCAUCCCCUGGGGACACUCUCUCUUCCUGACAGCUCCUGGGACUGGCUGAUUUUCCCUCAUCUCCAGAGCUUGCUUUCAGGUCCUCAGGCUGGGACACACCAUUUGGAAGCUGGACCUGUGAGCAAGGUGGCUGCUCAGGAAGUGCCUGGUAGUCAUGGAUCUGCUCAUUACCACCCUGGCAGCUGGUUCUGAGCUCGGAGGAACUCAGUGCUAACGAGGGAGCUCAUCCUCUGAUCCUCUCCUUGCUUGGCUCAGGAGGAGCUGGUGGCUCAAUUGCCUCUGGCUCACCUUCAUCAACUGCAUUUAUUCAAGGGUUUUGAGGAGCUGCAUGUGAAAGGCUCAUGGAUGGAGGUUAUCACGUGGCUUUGCUUUGCCUACAGACAAGGAUUUCAUCUUAUUAAAGCCAGACUUUGGCUCUGCCUUUUGCACUGAGUGAGGUCUCCCACAGUCCCCAGAAAACAGGAAAAAAAUGCUGGACAAAAUAAUUACUUUUUUUUUCUUUCAAUAAUCCUGAAAAUGAGUCACGACUGACAAGUGUGAGGCAGAAGCAUUUGAAGCACUACAAUUUCUUUUUCCAGUGUAUUUGAUAUUGAAACAGGGGAUGCCACUGUCAUUGCAGGAGAGGUUAUGAAAGCAUUAAAAGGGUUAAGACCUUAGCUCUGCCCGAGGACACUGCUUUUUGCUUUCCUGUGCUGCUCUAUCCUAUCAGGUUUCUUGCUCCCUCUGGUCAAAAUAGUAACUUAUAUAAUUGCCUAAUUCAUAUAAGUUUGCAAGGCAACAAGCAGAAUGAAAAAUCUUGCGCUCACAAGGCUCGGAAACAGAAAAAUACACAUAAAUCAAAUAAGCACCUCAAACACCUGAAGUGACAAGUAGCCACAUUGAAUUCCUGCACUGCAAGCUGGAAAGGCAUGAAACAGAGCAAAAAAUGCAAAGCACAAGGCCAAAAUGUGCCAGGCAGCCCUUUUAGAAAGCCGUGCACAGCACUGACAGGGGCUGGUUGGCAUUAGUGCCCCUCAGCUCUGAUUUGUUCCUCAGGUGUAACAGCUGCCCACAGGUUGUGCCCACACGAGUGAAUUGAGUGUGACACGGAGCCAGAACACUGUGGUGAGUUGCUUCUUGUACUGAUAAAUAUUUAAGGAUAAAGCCUGAGUGCUUGUUCUGCAGCAUCUGAUCCUUCUCAGUUACAAGAGGUAAAAAAAACAACUUGCAAAUUGCUGCCCUUAAUGGAAAAUUAAAAAAAAAAAAAAAGAUGUUGAUAAGCUUGUGGUAAUGGAUCCUGUAUUUUGAAUUGAUUUUUGUUUGUGUAUGAAAAUGCUUCAUCAGUGAGAGAAUUUUAAGAGGUUACUCCUCUGAGAGAGGUAAAGCCACUGGUCACCCUUGCACAGCACGUGCUGAAUUCCUGAGAACUUGUCCACAGGUUUCAGAACUCCAGCUCUGGCUCCCCAGAAAUAUCCAAAGCCAAUCCCAACAACUGAGCUCCAAACUACUCCUGGUUGCAAACACAAGGUUCUUGGAGAAGGUCUUUGUGUUAACCAGCAAAGCAGCACUGGAAAGUAAAAUUCCAGAAUUGCUUUUUUUUUUCUUUUUGCUUUUAUUUCUGAUAUCCAGCCCUGUCCCUCCACACAGGUCAGCCGUGAGGGAAGGGAGAACAAAAAUGCCCAUGGGCCACAUUUCAAGGCUUUUUUCUUCGUGGAAUUUUAUCUAAGAAGAGGGAGAAAACAUCUCAGCCCCUCAGAGUUGGAGUGGCUUCUCCCCUCUUCUCUCCUUUAGCGUGAAGUGAGAGAUUUACCCAAUUCACACCUCGGUGUUGCUAAAUAGCAAAAUGUCCUGCCUUCAAAAUGUUCCAUAAGCCCCCAGUCAGCUCCAUGACUCUGGAAUGAGCAAUCACAGCUUUGCCACAACCCCUGCAAAUAAUAUUUGCACAGUUCCCCUGACAAACAAGCACGGGCAGAAAGCAUUUACAAACCCUGGCAGUGCUAAUUGCUUCUGGGAGCGUCUGGAGAUAUUUUCUACCUGAAAAUAUUUGAUGUUUUUGAUGAAAACUCAUAUAUUGUGGCUCACAGACAACAAGGUAAACAUUUCCACUCAUUUGCUCUCUGGAUUUUGAAAUUAAAAAAGGAAAAGAGCCACAUCUGUGUUCAGGAGUCCGUUUCCAAGCUCCUUAUCCAGCUGUGUUGCCUUCCCUGGCUGGACAGUGUUGAUGGAGUAGAGUCAGAAAUUUGGGAUUUGCUUCUAGAACUUCAAGUGCUAACACCUCAUGGGGCAUUUGUUGCUUGAAAAUUAGGAAUUUAUGAAGAAAAAAAAAGGGGAGGAGAUGGAAUUAAUUCAUUAUUUCCUUCUAGGAUCACCCUCCAUCCUCAAUUCUGUAACAAGGUUUGGCUUCUGUGGACCUUUUUCUGUGAUUUAAGUGCUCCAGGAGUAAUUCAACUGCAAAGCUUUGGCCGGGAAGCUGAAAACUUGUUUAGAAACUCCCCAAAGAGGAAAGAGCUGCUGCUAUAAUUAGUAAAGAGGUGCAGUAAUACAUAAGAUGGUGCUGAUAGCUCAGAGAACCCAAAGAAAUCGAGCUCUGUUUCUCCUGGUGCCUUUUCUGUAGAGGUGGAUCAGCUGGUGUGUGUCACAUCCGUGGAAUCCCAGAAUGGUUUUUAGAAGGCACCUUAAAGCCCAUCUCAUUCCAACCCCCUGCCCUGGGCAGGGACACCUUCCACUGGACCAGUUUGCUCCAACCUGGCUCUGAACACUUCUAGGGAUGGGGCACUUUGAGCAGUAAUAACAGCAUUCAGUGGUAACAUCCAGUUAUAGAAAAGAGAAACCCCUUUAUUUUCCAAAUUAAUGCAGUUAUCCAUGUCUCCCUCAGCCUGGAUUAAUCCUACACGGCUUUAGAAUACAGAAAGAGCAGGAAUAAAAAAAUUUCAGAAGGCAGAUCCACCUUUAAUGGAAUAAGACACCUUUUACUUCACUCCAGAGAGACUCUCAAGUGCUUCUUCAGUUGAGAGGUCACAAUUUGGCAUCAUGUACCUGAAUCCAUGUCCAGUUCAGGGGUUAAUCCAUGUUUUAUCCAUUAUCAGAAAAAGACUGGCUACCUUUUCUCCUUUUGAUGUCAAAAAUCUGAGACUACAAAUCCAUUAAAGCCAAAGUGCUGUUAAAUUAGAGUUGACUACCAGGGGCUAAAAACCAAACCAAAAUAAAUGCAAACCCACAUUUCUAAGGGGAAAUACAGCACAUUUCCCACACUUCAUGGCAAAACAAGAGUUGUAAAAUCCUCAGGGGAGGGUUUGUAUCUUCCCAUGUGUUUUUAAAAAGCUAAACUUGCAUUCCCAGAGGUAAUGGGAAAAAAAUGUAAAAUGUAUUAUUUGUUCUUCAAAUAAUAAAUACUGGCAAUUAUCACCGAAGAAUAGAUGAUAAACAAUCAAUGUCUUUUUUUAGUUUUGCUUUCAGAAUGAAAUGUUCUUUUCUUUGGAAAGAUGUUGUGUAUGAACCAUUGUAUGUUAUUGUGUUAAUAGAUUAACAAGAUGUUUUUAUAAUUGAAUUGUUAUCACUGUGGGACACAAUCUCCACAUUAUUUAAAAUAAAUUAUAUUUUCUUACUUA